rnacentral:tRNA from 1 species
UCCCGUGUGGCUCAGUUGGUAGAGCAUGGUGUUUGCAAUGCCAAGGUUGUGAGUUUGAUUCCCACGGGGG